UAAAACGUAGGGGGCAAGCGUUACUCGGAUUUACUGGGCUUAUAGGGCUCGCAGGCGGGUGCGUAAGUCGUGGGUGAAAACUGCCGGCUCAACCGGCAGCCUGCCUAUGAUACUGCGUGCCUAGAGGAAGAGAGAGGAAACAGGAAUUCCCGGUGUAGCGGUGGAAUGCGUAGAUAUCGGGAGGAACACCAGCGGCGAAGGCGAGUUUCUAACUCUUACCCGACGCUCAGGAGCGAAAGCAUGGGGAGCGAACGGGAUUAGAUACCCCGGUAGUCCAUGCCAUAAACGAUGGGUGCUAGAUGUUGGGUCUGUCGUGGAUUCAGUGUCGCAGAGAAAUCGUUAAGCACCUCGCCUGGGGAGUACGAUCGCAAGGUUG
rnacentral:rRNA from 1 species